UGGGGAAUAUUGGACAAUGGGCGAAAGCCUGAUCCAGCCAUGCCGCGUGUGUGAAGAAGGUCUUCGGAUUGUAAAGCACUUUAAGUUGGGAGGAAGGGCCAUUACCUAAUACGUGAUGGUUUUGACGUUACCGACAGAAUAAGCACCGGCUAACUCUGUGCCAGCAGCCGCGGUAAUACAGAGGGUGCAAGCGUUAAUCGGAAUUACUGGGCGUAAAGCGCGCGUAGGUGGUUUGUUAAGUUGGAUGUGAAAUCCCCGGGCUCAACCUGGGAACUGCAUUCAAAACUGACUGACUAGAGUAUGGUAGAGGGUGGUGGAAUUUCCUGUGUAGCGGUGAAAUGCGUAGAUAUAGGAAGGAACACCAGUGGCGAAGGCGACCACCUGGACUGAUACUGACACUGAGGCACGAAAGCGUGGGGAGCAAACAGGAUUAGAUACCCCUGUAGUCCCUGAGCGGGCUGGCAAGGCGCAU
rnacentral:rRNA from 1 species